AAGGGAGCUGCCAGUAUUAACUAGUGCUUGCUGCUCUUGCGUUCUGUGUGAGGAGCGUUGAAUAGAAGACGUGAUGGAUGAAGAAUUAAAAUGCCCCGUUUGCGGUUCUCUUUUCAAGGAUCCUAUUCUUUUACCUUGCUCGCACAAUGUGUGUUUGGCGUGCGCCCGAAAUAUCAUUGUACAGACCCCAGAAGGCGAAACACCACCGCAUAACCGUGCCUCCAACUCGGACUACGAUUAUUUGGAUAUGGACAAAAUGAGCAUGUAUAGUGAAACGGACAGCGGUUAUGGAUCAUACACGCCGUGCCUCAAGUCUCCAAAUGGGGUGAGGGUGUUUCCUCCGACUCUGGUGCACCGCCACUGCUCCAUAACGUGUCCUCUCUGUCACCGUAGUGUCUCUCUGGAUGAGCGGGGGCUGAGGGGCUUUCCACGUAACCGGCUACUGGAGGCGAUCGUGUCUCGGUAUCAACAGAGCCGCUCUGCCAACGUGAAAUGUCAGCUAUGUGACCGCAACCCUGUCGAUGCCACUGUGAUGUGCGAGCAGUGUGACGUGUUUUACUGCACACCUUGCCAGCAGCGAUGCCACCCUUCCCGUGGACCGCUGGCCAAACAUCGAUUAGUGCCACCGACCCAAUCGCCAGUUGCAGGAGGACAGCAGAUGCCCACCGCCACCUUGCGCAAACAGGGAACAUGUGCAGACCAUGACACGGUGAACUUUAGCAUGUACUGCAUCAACUGCAAGACUCCAGUGUGCAUGAAGUGUCUGGAGGGUGGCAAGCAUGGGAGUCACGAUGUAAAACCUUUAGUGGCCAUGUGGAAACAGCACAAGUGUCAACUGUCCCAAGCUUUGAAUGGUGUGUCAGAUAAAGCCAAGGAUGCCAAGGAAUUUCUGGUGCAGUUGAAGAACAUGCUUCAGCAGAUACAGGAAAAUGGGGUGGAGUUCGAGGCCUGCCUGGUGGCUCAGUGUGACGCCCUUAUUGAGGCUCUGACGCGGCAGAAAGCCAAGCUCCUCACCAAGGUUACCAAAGAGAGGGAGUACAAGCUCAAGGUGGUGCGUGACCAGAUCACUCACUGCACUAUGAAGCUACGUCAGACUACAGGCAUGAUGGAGUACUGUCUGGAGGUGAUCAAAGAGAACGACCCCAGCGGCUUCCUGCAGAUCUCCGAUGCGCUGAUCAAACGUGUGACAUCGUCUCAGGACCAGUGGGUCAAAGGGGCUCUGGAGCCCAAGGUGGGCCCUGAGUUUGACCUGACCCUGAACACCGACCCCCUGCUUCAGACCAUAAUACAGCUGGACUUUGUCCAGAGCAAAGAUAUUCAGGAGACUCCAUUAUUGAAACAAAUGCAUGCAGGUGGACUGAAAGACACGGAGAGCUCAGGAGUGGAGUCUGCCACGGUGCCCCCGGCCCCCCUGCUGCAGCUGGAGAAGUGCUGCACCCGCAACAACAGUGCCACCCUGGCCUGGAGGGUCAGUGUGUCCCCUAGCAACCCCAUUGAAGGCUACGUCCUGGAGCUGGACGACGGCAACGGGGGUCAAUACAGGGAGGUGUAUGUAGGGAAGGAGACCGUGUGCACCGUGGACGGCCUACACUUCAACAGUUCCUACAACGCCAGAGUCAAGGCCUACAACUCCACCGGGGUGGGGCCCUAUAGCAAAACUGUGGUGCUGAAGACAUCUGACGUGGCCUGGUUCACCUUCGACCCCGCCUCGGCUCACAGGGACAUUGUGUUGACCAAUGAGAACCAGACGGUGAGCUGCAACAGCUAUGAUGACCGUGUGGUGCUGGGGACUGCCGCCUUCUCCAAGGGGGUACAUUACUGGGAGCUCAUGGUGGAUCGCUAUGACAACCACCCGGACCCAGCGUUCGGGGUGGCGAGGAUCAACACGAUGAAGGACAUGAUGCUGGGGAAGGAUGAUAAGGCCUGGGCCAUGUACGUGGACAACAACCGCAGCUGGUUCAUGCACAACAACUCCCACACCAACAGCUGUCACGUUGGAGCCUAUCACCCACAAUGACUCACUCAUUUCCCUCAUUAAAGUGCCAGGUAUACAUGAAUGUCAGGUAAUCAUCAAAGGCAGAUUUUUGCUUGCAAUCCUGCUUGUUUGUUUCUUUCGCCUAGUGGAUUUCUCUGGAAAUCCACUAGGAAGUCCUGUAGCUUUGUGACAUAGCUGUUUGACAACGGUGAUGCUUUCACACUUCCACCAUUUUGUUGUUUGAGCUGCUCACUCUCAAAAACCAAAAAUCUGCUGGCUUUUUGGGGCCGAGGGGGGCAUCAGCAAGGGUGCCACUGUGGGCAUCCUGCUGGACCUGAACAAGCACACUGUAACGUUCUUUGUCAACAAACAGCAGCAUGGCCCCGUGGCCUUCGAGAACCUGGAGGGAGUCUUCAUGCCUGCUGUCAGCAUCAACAGGAAUGUCCAGGUUACCCUACUAACAGGAAUGGAGGUGCCAAAGAAUUUUAAGCAGCAGUAGCCUCCUAAGGUGUCCUGGCACAGUCCCACCAAUGUCAAAAUGUACUCCUCCUGCUCCAUCCCCAUCUGUUCUUGCUACUACAGCAUAUCUUAUGCUGUUUAAUGCCUACGAUCAAAUAUCACCCUCGGAGGGAGUCUUAUAUACGAGGGACUUUUGUAUAUAAAAUAUUUUGUUGUUUUUGUAAUUUUCCAAGUCCUAAUUGCAUCUCAAACCGUACAAUCAGAUUCUGUGUUUACAGUCAAAAUGCCACAGGGUGCUUUAAUGAAGUGCAUCACUAGAACGAAAUCCCAUAUGAGGGUAGAGUCAUGAGAUGUCCUACAGUACAAUUUCUCUACUUCUCUUCUCUCAGGUUCCUUCAUAGAGGCUUUCUAUACUUUCUUUGUAGGAAAUCACUGGAUGGGUUAAAUGCGGAAGACACAUUUCAGUUGAAUGCAUUCAGUUGUACAACUGACUAUUUAUCCUCCUUUCCCUUCCCUUCUAAUUCAAAAGUUGAGAAUAAUAUAGCUUUUCUUAGACACAUUAUCAGUGGAAUACUGUCUUUGCAACUUUACAAAGCCUUUCGAUACCAGAAUUGGAAUAAAUUCAACUUGAAAUCUGCUCAAUUGAAAAUGACCUAUGGGAAUUUUAUACACUAUACAUUUUAUUUAAUGAAAUUGAAUUCACCCCAGCAUAGAUCGUCAGAUCUGUGUAAAGGACUAAUCAGAGGACAAACGGAACCUACAAUUCUGUCACUAGAUGACAAAUCUUGGUUCAAAGUGAAGCCAAACCACUGUGACAUUGAGAUGUAACAUAGCCAUGUAUAUUUUGUCAAACUAUUUAAAAUGCAAAUAUGUAUCUUUUUUCAAACUAUUUACUGUUUAUGCAUUGGGUUUUACUACACUAUUUAAAUAUUUAUUAAGAGGGUGUAUGCUCAUGUGAAUAAACAAGUAUUGUUAAAGGUUUUGUAAAGCAGUUAGAAAUAUUGUAUUGACAGACCACUACAGGGUCAAGGAAGUAAGGAAAUGUAUGUAAGGAAAUUGUAAAUACGACUAAUGUGUCCUAAGCAUGCAUUCUAAGCAAACUAGUUUACUAAACUCCAUCUGUACAUAGUAAAACUAUUCCUAAAACAGUGAUAUGCAGAAGCCUUUCAAACUACCUAGUACAGUAAAAUACAUUUGCCCCCUAGAGUUUGAAGUCAAAAUUACAGCAUCACUUUAAUUUCCUAAAAAAAUAAGUGUUUAAUCAUUUAUGUGACAAUUUAAUAUCUUAUGGGGCUCAAGCACAAUGUCAGAUGACAAAAUUAAUUUAGAGGGUUAAGCAGUGCGUUUGUGAUUUGUCUGAGGGAGCCUUAAUGGAAUUGUAGAUACUAGGCAGGCUUAUUAUCCCACAUUUACAUUUGACCAUGUCCUCAUAAAGUUCACAUACUGGUAUAUCAUUAAUCAUAAUUAGAUGCAGUUAGGAGUUGUUUUGUAUCAUAUUCUGUAAUUCUAAUUUUUGAACAUUUUAAUCUCCGACGGCUACUAAAAGUGUUGCUUCAAAGUGAUGUGCCCUUAAUCCAAAAUGGUAAUAGGUUUUUGGAUUAAGAAUAAAGCUAUUGUUAUUAGAAUAAAAAUUAUACUCCGAGUCUGUGUUGAAGCAUGGUGGUACACCCUUGGUGAAAAUGAUUUGUACUGUUCUUGUAUGCUCGCUUUGUAAAAACACCAAAUAUAGUCAUGCAUUGUUGAAUGGUCUUAGAAUCUAAUGUUGGGUUUAUUUAGCUGUGUUUAAUGUUCUCUGAACAGAGCCAAUGCCUUGUACAUUAAACAUGUUGAUAUGAUGUAGAGCAGACUUUCUGAUUACAGAACUACAGUAUGUCCAAAGCUAAAAUGUGGAGGUGACCAUUCCCAGGGUACAUAAAUUAUAUUGACUAAAGCCAUUUUGUAUAGACAAGCCAGUGCAUCAGGUUGCAGCAUGUACAGUUGGUUAUUGAGUGUCUCCAAGUGAAUGUUGUCAGAGAGAAUCAUCCCUGUUAUGAAGAUAUUCUUAUAAAACUCAAUAAGUGCUUGUGUUGGCAACUACAGUAUAGUGAAGUGUCAUGUACCCAAAAGGGAUGACUGCAGAGGCCUACAAACAAAAUUGGCUCCAUGUAGCCUCUCAACAAUCACCAUGGAAAUGGUGUUCACAAACACACUGCCAGCACAGACCAUAAUAUCAAAGGAAUCUUUGUAGUAAAUUCACAUAGUAGCUUAUCGUCUCUAAAUGUCAUAUUGUAGAGUUUGGCAUGCAUUUACCAGCCUGCUUCUGAAUGUGAACACCCCACCCCCCCAAAAAGAAAAUAGUGCUAGAAACAGUCAUGACUGUCAGAUUACAAUUGGGUUUGAAUCCUACACUCUUCCUCAAGAGACUGACAGACACAUUUAUUUCAUCCAUUUAUUUAUAAAUGUAUAAUACAUUUCUGAGAUUUAUUUUGCCCACGUUUACUGUUCCCACCCUCAGUAUGCCAUGUGGGGAAGGUUGUUGCCGUGUCUGGGGGACAUCUCUCUUCUAAACACACAUGCCCUGGGGUCGUGGCUAGUGCCCUCCCACUGCCACACUACCAGAGAACUAGGCAGGGUGCACCACCAAACCUCAUAGGGAAUGUCAACUGGUCCAUUAGGACACUGGCAUCCGUGUCCAGUGUGUUCACAAAAAGCUGUGCUUUAUUUUAUAGAAUUCUGUUACGUAUGUUCUUUAGUUAUCAUACGAUGUAAACGUUUCGUACUUCUAAGUGGUUUGUAUAUGAAAUGAGUUGGCAUUGUUUUCAUAUUAUACCGUUUAAAAGAUGAAGAAAAUGCUGUCUUUCCUUUAUAUAAUGAAUAAACUGUGAUGGAAUAUAAA